rnacentral:rRNA from 1 species
GACGAACGCUGGCGGCGUGCUUAACACAUGCAAGUCGAACGGAAAGGCCCUGCUUGCGGGGUACUCGAGUGGCGAACGGGUGAGUAACACGUGGGUGAUCUGCCCUGCACUUCGGGAUAAGCUUGGGAAACUGGGUCUAAUACCGGAUAGGAGCCAUCUUUAGUGUGGUGGUUGGAAAGUUUUUUCGGUGUAGGAUGAGCUCGCGGCCUAUCAGCUUGUUGGUGGGGUAAUGGCCUACCAAGGCGGCGACGGGUAGCCGGCCUGAGAGGGUGUACGGCCACAUUGGGACUGAGAUACGGCCCAGACUCCUACGGGAGGCAGCAGUGGGGAAUAUUGCACAAUGGGCGCAAGCCUGAGGCAGCGACGCCGCGUGGGGGAUGAAGGCCUUCGGGUUGUAAACUCCUUUCGCUAGGGACGAAGCUUUUUUGUGACGGUACCUAGAUAAGAAGCACCGGCUAACUACGUG